rnacentral:lncRNA from 1 species
UGCUCCCCUCCCCUUCUCCGGCCCCCUCUCCGAGCCGGCACUCACUCGGCGCCCAUGAUGUCAUCCAGUGGAAAUCUGCCAUGCUCAAAAACUGGAAUAAUCCAGCGCUCACGCGGGGCGCGCAGAGAGGGCGGAGGCGCGCGCGGAGCCUCCCGGAGUUCCCGGAACCUGACCCCCAGGCGCAUCACGGAGAAUAAGUGAAUGAAACGACCAUCAUUGAUGAGCAACUGUAGGGACCACUUCAGAUUUACACUUGACUCUCCUGCCUAAGAGACACAAUGAAUUUCCUGUUCCUGCACCUUCUCCACACAGGACUACACAGAGCCCAUGGACAUACUGGGAAGUUAGGGAGCUGAUCCAUCUACAUUGCUUGUAGAUCCUUAAAAUAUGCACUACACUUCUCUCUUAUUUUCCUCAUCUCUAAAACAGAAAUGUUAGUAUUUAAAAUAUGUUCAUAUAUAUAUAUAUAUCUGAUAUAUGUGAUAUAUGAUAUAUAAUGUCAUAUAUUAUAUUAUUGUUAUAUUAUAAUAUUAUAUAAUUAUAUAUUAAUUAUAUGUUAUAUAUAUAUUGCGUGUGUGUUCUGAUACCUAGAUUAUGGAUUUGAUCCUUCAGUUAAGCAUCCUGAGCAAGAAUAUUUCUUUCAGUUCUCCCUCUGCAGCAAGCGAUU